UACGUAGGGACCGAGCGUUGUCCGGAUUCAUUGGGCGUAAAGAGCUCGUAGGCGGCCACUCAAGUCGAAUGUGAAACCUCGAGGCUUAACCUCGAGCCUGCAUUCGAUACUGGGCGGCUAGAGUCUGGUAGGGGGAUCUGGAAUUCCUGGUGUAGCGGUGAAAUGCGCAGAUAUCAGGAGGAACACCGGUGGCGAAGGCGGUUCUCUGGGCCUGUACUGACGCUGAGGAACGAAAGCGUGGGGAGCGAACAGG
rnacentral:rRNA from 1 species